rnacentral:rRNA from 1 species
CUGCCUGCCCAGUGACACUAAGUUUAACGGCCGCGGUAUUAUGACCGUGCAAAGGUAGCGUAAUCACUUGUCUUUUAAAUAAAGACCAGUAUGAAUGGCAAGACGAAAGUUCAACUGUCUCCCUAAAUUAAUCAAUGAAAUUGAUUUUUUCGUGCAGAAGCGGAAAUAUAAUUAUAAGACGAGAAGACCCUAUGGAGCUUUAAACAUAUGAUCAUUGCGUAACAUAACCCAAAAUGAAAUAUUUAAUAAAACAUUAUGAUCAAAAUUUUAGGUUGGGGCGACCACGGAGAAAAACAAAACCUCCGAGAUGAAGAGAAUAUCUUAAUUCAAGAAUCACAAUUCUAAAAAAUAAAAUAUUUAACAUAAUUGAUCCAAUAUAUUGAUCAACGAACCAAGUUACCCUAGGGAUAACAGCGCAAUCCUCUCCAAGAGUCCCUAUCGACGAGCGGGUUUACGACCUCGAUGUUGGAUCAGGACACCCCAAUGGUGCAGCCGCUAUUAAAGGUUCGUUUGUUCAACGAUUAAA